ensembl:lncRNA
UCAAUUACUAAAGUCAAAUGGAAUUUAUGGUACUUUAUUUUAUACUAGAGGGAAGAUAUUAAGGAAGAGAGAAAGAGAAGAAAAGGAGAAAGAGAGAGAGAGAGAGAGAGAGAGAGAGAGAGAGAGAGACAGAGAGAGAGAGAGAGAGAAAGUCAGCUCCAGCUUCCUCUGAGCCAGGUAGCAAUUCUAAAGCCCCAGCCAGAGCAAAGGAGGCCAAGGAAAGGAAGUCAGCCUUUAUACUAACCAUGUGUCAGUUCAAUCAGCAGAUUCUUCAUCAGCCUCAACUUCAGCAGGCUCCACUCCAAGUGUGUCCCUUUCAAACUCCCAGAAGAAUGACCACCAACAACCAACUCCCAGAAGACCGACAUCAUUGUUCAGGAAAGAUGAGAGAUGUGGAAUGGAAGUCCUUUGGAGAGACUCUCUACAAUCUGUAGACAUUUUGUAACUGGUUCCAGUUGGCUAACCAUAUGGUGAAAAGGAGGCUGGCAGUGGAGGUAAUUGAAAAAGGCCUGUGAGCUUUACUCACUUCCUCUUUAUCUCAGCACUCUUACAGGCACUUGGAGAACUGUGAAAGGAGGGAAACCUUGGACCUUGUGAGUGCAAAAGGUCCAGAGAGCUCCUUGGAGUCCAGUUUGAGUCUGAGUUUGCAGUCAACUUAGCACUGGUGACUCAAGGAACAAGGAGUUGCCUUCCUUCAUUAGUGACUUCUGUAUAAAUGGAGAUAUUGAACCUAGGGACUUCAUCCCCCAGAAGUCCCUUAGUAUUUCCCAAAAUUCCCUUUAAUCUCUCCUGCGCCUCCACAUUUGUGUGAUCACGGGAUUGUUUUAUAAAUUCCGUAGCUCCUCCCUCUUUCUCUCUUCUUUCGCAGGUGGGCUGGGUUAACACCAUUUUUGGCUAGUUCUUUUUUACUUUUGUUAUGUUAACUUGGAAAUAACACAGAGCUAUCAAGUAGUCAGAAAAAAUCAAGUCUUUAAUCAAGAUAGGGAGAAGUCCAGUAUUUAAUUCUUUACUCAGAGUCUGGUGCCACAAGUUUUUCAGGGUGCAAACCCUGGACUCUGAGGAUAUUAUCCCUGGAAAUGCCAUCAUGCUAGAUGAUGACUCCAAGGAACAAAAGAAUUUGGGGAACCUCUAUACCAUUUGGGGAGUCCAAGGGCAGGGAAAGGUGAUUGACAUUGCUAUAUCUACAAAGAAAAUGGGAGUGUUCAAAUUACACCAACAAGAUACAAUCAAAGGACUCAUAGCUAGAAGCUAGGGUGGAAGAGAAGGGGCUACUUACAGUGGAUACUAAAGGAUGGUUCCCGCCCAGGUAUGGAUCUUCUUGGGAAAGGGUCUCUUAGUCUCACCUAACUAGGAUUGUCAAUGCCCCUGAGGGUCUGCCACUCUGAGGGUCUGAAACUGCUAGUCUGGGAUUCCCUUCAGGGUGGAUUCCCAGGGGAACAGGGAACAAGCUGGAUUUGAAACCUGGGGUUCACCAGAUCCCACCAGGCCACAAGUUUGGGGUUUCUAGAUUCCAUGUUGACAGUUAUUAUUAAUAAAUCUUAUAAAUAUAAUACUUGAGUUAUUGUA